rnacentral:rRNA from 1 species
GACGAACGCUGGCGGCGUGCUUAACACAUGCAAGUCGAACGGAAAGACCCUGCUUUUGUGGGGUGCUCGAGUGGCGAACGGGGGAGUAACACGUGAGUAACCUGCCCUUGACUUUGGGAUAACUUCAGGAAACUGGGGCUAAUACCGGAUAGGAGCUCCUGCUGCAUGGUGGGGGUUGGAAAGUUUCGGCGGUUGGGGAUGGACUCGCGGCUUAUCAGCUUGUUGGUGGGGUAGUGGCUUACCAAGGCUUUGACGGGUAGCCGGCAUGAGAGGGUGACCGGCCACAUUGGGACUGAGAUACGGCGCAGACUCCUACGGGAGGCAGCAGUGGGGAAUAUUGCACAAUGGGCGGAAGCCUGAUGCAGCAACGCCGCGUGCGGGAUGACGGCCUUCGGGUUGUAAACCGCUUUCGCCUGUGACGAAGCGUGAGUGACGGUAAUGGGUAAAGAAGCACCGGCUAACUACGUG